rnacentral:tRNA from 1 species
GGUUGUAGCUCAGUGGAAGAGAGCUUGCCUAGUACAUAUGUGACCCUAGGUUCAACCCCUAGUACCA